GGCCAUUCCGAGGGGUGUUCGCGAACGCGAGCUGAGAUGGCCUAGGGCCGAACCCUUCGAACCUGAUCCGGGUCAUGCCGGCGAAGGGACGGGAAGCUUGAUCCAA
rnacentral:ncRNA from 2 species